UUUUUUUCUUUUUUUUUUUUCUUUGUCUUUUAUCUUUUUAGGGUUGCACCUGAGGCAUAUGGAGGUUCCCAGGUGCAGCCCUAAAAAAGACAAAAAAAUAUCAGCAGUAUACCCUUCACAUCCACUAGGACAGCUGUAACUGGAAAGGCAGAUAACAAUAAAGGAGCAGCAACAGCAAAGUUAAGGAAAACAAUCUUGAUUCCUUAGGAGAAUGGCAAGUAGUUCACUACAGUUGAGGCUUUCUACUCACAUUAUUUCCUUAAGUCUUUUCAAAAAUUUCUUCAGUAGUGUCAAACAUCAUGAUCCACAAGUACAAAUAACUCCUCGGAGUUCCGAAUCCGACUAGGAACCAUGAGGUUGCGGGUUCGAUCCCUGCCCUUGCUCAGUGGGUUAACAAUCCGGCGUUGCCGUGAGCUGUGGUGUAGGUUGCAGACGCGGCUCGGAUCCCGCGUUGCUGUGGCUCUGGCGUAGGCCGGUGGCUACAGCUCCGAUUCAACCCCUAGCCUGGGAACCUCCAUAUGCUGCGGGAGCGGCCCAAGAAAUAGCAACAAUAACAACAACAACAACAACAAAAGACAAAAAAAAAGACAAAAAAAAAAACAAAAAAAAACAAAUAACUCCUGGCAAACAUGGUGAUUUCACUAUACUAUUUCUUUUAAACUAUCCAUUAAAAAUAAACAAUCCCUAGUAAGUCUCUAUGUAAAUGCACAAAGAUCUAUGUAAAUGCACAAAGAAGAAAAAGCCAGUUACACUCUUUUGUGUUUUGUCUUGUUUUGUUCCUUUUUGGCCAUACCCACAGCAAUGCACAAGUACCUGUGCAACAGCAGUAACCAGAACCACACUGGGGAUGACUCUGGAUCCUUAAUCUGCUGAACAACUGGGGAACUCCUGUUUUGUUUUCUUUUGGUUAACUACUUUGGUAACUAAUUAUUCUGAUUAAUAUUAGUAGAAAAAAGUCCCAUUGUACUAGAGAAGAAAAAGAAAGCAAUAGGACAGCUUUCAGAAACCAUUACUUCAACUGUAAAAAUUGAAUCAGUCUAGAUGUUUUUGGACUUAAACUAUUGUUUUUUAAAAACUGCUUCAACUAACAUUCAUGCUUACUGAGUAAUAAAAAUGGUAUCAUUAUUUGUUCAGAUUAAAAUCAAACAGGAAAUAUUACAAAGCAUCAAUUAAAAAUAAAUAUGAACACACAGUUCUACAGAACUUAUUUUUCUUUCAAGAGUAACAAAAAAAUGAUGCUUAUUUAGCUGUGCUUUGAUUUGUACAUGAAUGUUAUGGCCAUAUUUUUAAGUAACAUCAAAGUUUUGUAAAUGCUGGAACCAUAGAAAACAGGUACAAACACAAAGAUGUCCUCCUCCCACACCUCUGUUUGUGAUUAUCUCCUUUUCUUGUGCUAAAUUCACCAGCUGGUGCUAAAUUCACCAGUUGGUGCUAUAGGCCAAUGAGUAAGAUAUUCCAUUUAAGAGUAUCUCCUGAAGCACAGUGCUUGUAUAAUCAUCCUGAAGAGAUGGCUCCCUGGGACAGAAACCAGAACCAGGGAAUUCCCGAUGUGGCUCAGCAGAAACGAAUCUGAUUAGUAUUCAUGAGGACACAGGUUCAAUCUCUGGCCUUGCCCAGCGGGUUAAGGACCUGGUGUUGCCGUGAGCUGUGUGGUGUGGGUUGCAGACAUGGCUCUGAUCUGGCGUUGCUGUGGCUGUGGCUUAGGCCAGUGGCUAUAGCUCUGAUUCUGCCC
ensembl:lncRNA